UUAAGAGAAGCCAAAGAGAGGCUUGUCACUGUUAAUGACAGAAUUGGGGGAUACCCUUCUUGAA
rnacentral:tRNA from 1 species